UGGGGAAUUUUGGACAAUGGGGGCACCCUGAUCCAGCCAUCCCGCGUGUGCGAUGAAGGCCUUCGGGUUGUAAAGCACUUUUGGCAGGGAAGAAACAGCCUGGGAUAAUACCCCGGGGCGACUGACGGUACCUGCAGAAUAAGCACCGGCUAACUACGUGCCAGCAGCCGCGGUAAUACGUAGGGUGCAAAGCGUUAAUCGGAAUUACUGGGCGUAAAAGCGUGCGCAGGCGGUUCGGAAAGAAAGGUGUGAAAUCCCAGGGCUUAACCUUGGAACUGCACUUUUAACUACCGAGCUAGAGUACGUCAGAGGGGGGUAGAAUUCCACGUGUAGCAGUGAAAAUGCGUAGAGAUGUGGAGGAAUACCGAUGGCGAAGGCAGCCCCCCUGGGAUGAUACUGACGCUCAUGCACGAAAGCGUGGGGAGCAAAACAGGAUUAGAUACCCCUGGGUAGUCCACGCCCCUAAACGAUGUCAACUAGCUGUUGGGGUUUAAUUAACCUUAGUAGCGCAGCUAAACGCGUGAAGUUGACCGCCUGGGGAGUACGGUCGCAAGAUUAAAACUC
rnacentral:rRNA from 1 species